CUCUCUAGAAAAAGGAACUGUAGGUGGUGGUCGGCCGGUGAGUCUGGCCGUGUUCGGUGAUCGAGUGAGCGGCGGUGGGCGGCUCUGCAGGCGGAGGAGAAACAGGCAUGGGUUUUUGGCAUCAGAUGAUUCUUCCUGUACGCCGUGUUUGGCUCGCCGUUUACGGCCGUCUUAAAACUCGCAAAAAUGAUGAAGGAUUACUAAACCUUAACGAUGAUGUGGAAACAUGUGGCUAUCAAGACGUAAAAGUAAUGUGGGAAAUACUAAGGAGAUCAGAAGCAGAGCAAAUAACUCGUCGACACCAAACAAGACGUAAACACAAACAUUUAUGGAAGGCUUUCGUAUGGUCUAACCCUACUGAAAGUACAAUUAAAAUGUCAACUUUUUCGACUUUUAGCCAUGUUUCAUAGGGAGACGAGUCAAGUCCUCUCCCCUUUUAAAUGGCUACAAAAAUGUAUCCCUCGAGUUUUAGGCCAAUUUGGGUCUAAAAUGAAGCGAAGAGUUGUAAAUAGAAAUAAUAAUUGCUUCUAAAAUGUUAUUCGGGGAAAUUCAAUUACA